UACGGAGGGAGCUAGCGUUGUUCGGAAUUACUGGGCGUAAAGCGCGCGUAGGCGGCUUUGUAAGUUAGAGGUGAAAGCCCGGGGCUCAACCCCGGAACUGCCUUUAAAAACUGCAUCGCUUGAAUCCGGGAGAGGUGAGUGGAAUUCCGAGUGUAGAGGUGAAAUUCGUAGAUAUUCGGAAGAACACCAGUGGCGAAGGGCGGCUCACUGGACCGGUAUUGACGCUGAGGUGCGAAAGCGUGGGGAGCAAACAGG
rnacentral:rRNA from 1 species